rnacentral:lncRNA from 1 species
GCGGAGUAGUUUGCAUGAAGUUUUGUAUCGUUGACAAUUUUUGACGUACAUAUGUGGUUGUGGGCUCAAAUUGAAGAUCAGUAUGCCACCAACUUGAUUUUUGGUGUCUGAAACCAACAAAAUACAAUGCAUUAUGCCAAUUUGCCCUGUAUUGACAAGAUGUUUUUGGAGGAAAACUGUUUUAUUUCUAUUUUUAAAUUGAAUAUUUUCACAAAAUGUCACAAGACAAAUUGUUGCUGUUCUUUGUUUUAAAAUGACAAUUUUG